UUUACGACGUUAAAAUUGAAAGUAAUAUUUAUUUAUUUUUUAUUAAAAUGUAUCCGUUAUCACAAUUCCCUUUGCGGUUCGUAUUAGAUGAAUUGCCAGACCGCGCUGCGCGGUUUGUGUUUUGCGGUUGGUAUAUCCCUGGCUGUUCUGUGGGAGGCAGAGCCGCUCAGACACUGAGGGAGAGCAGAGAGGAGACUAACACAUUUUGAGAUGUGGAGUGGCUGCUAACGGCUCUCAUCUGAAGAGAAGAAAGGACACGUUCACUGACGAGACGGUCAGAGCGAGUGACUAGAGCCGUGCUGCACACCCCACUGACAAUACCUGAAGACUGCCUUAUCCAGGUGAAAGCCAAGGAACAAAGAUGGAGUGUGUUUACAUUAAACAGGAGCAGGUUCUGGAAUUGGUACCUAUCUGCAUUAAACAGGAGAUGACUGACCUGGAGCCUGUCCACAUUAAAGAGGAGACUGAACUGGAGCCUGUCCACAUUAAAGAAGAGACUGACCUGGAGC